UCACUUUCAACAACGGAUCUCUUGGUUCUCGCAUCGAUGAAGAACGUAGCGAAGUGCGAUAAGUAGUGUGAAUUGCAGAAUUCCGUGAAUCAUCGAAUCUUUGAACGCAAAUUGCACUCCCUGGUAUUCCGGGGAGUAUGCCUGUUUGGGGGUCAGUU
rnacentral:rRNA from 1 species